rnacentral:lncRNA from 1 species
GGUGAGCGGUGAAACGCGGGGUUGGCGCUCGCGUUGACUCCUCAGAAAGAAGUUCAUGUCGCGGGGACCUAGCGGCACCCCAGUCGCACCAGGCAAGGUGAGAAAUCUCAGCUCGUUUGCCUUUUCCCUGCGUGGGUUAAGGUUCUGUGGCCACUUUUGACUCUCUCCAAACGGAACAAACUCGAAUUCGUGGACUCUUGGCUGGUUCUAUAACUUGGGGUCGGAGGCUCGGCCUGGGAAGUUCCACACUACGCCUGGACCGAAAGGAUGCUCCAACCCUGGGAAGGAGGGGAAGGAUACGGACGCCUCAGAAAAGUCUCUGCUCUGAAGGAAGGGGCGAUCAGCCGGCUACAGGGGAAGGACGUAGCAUCGUUCGGUUAAUACAAGUCAGAAUGGUUGGGCCAGGGAGGAUAAGGGUAGUAAUAACAAGGAAAACAAAACAAUGUGAUGUUUUCCAUGUAAGAACCGAACUUAACAACAACUGCAAAAUAAGGACUCCUGGCCACACUUUUGUUUUAGAGACGAGAAAUCACAUCCCAAAGGGCAUUGUGUGCCAAGUUUAUGUAGUGAUUACUAUCAGAGGUAGACUGUAUCCUUAAUCCUUGUAGGAUCAGAGAAUGUGUGAAUUCUGGCCUCCCUCUGCCAUGAUAAGAAUAUGGAUCGAAGAACUCCAGAGUUAGGGGUGUAUUUGUUAUGAGAGCCCACCUCCCGUUUCUCUUAACACAAGUGGGACUACAUAAAUUAGUCGUUUUCUCAGUUAACAGGAAAGCUAGAGGAUUACUGGGGUUCUUUGUUGUUGUUGUUUUGUUUUGUUUUUUAACUACUUUUGAGUUUUGACUAUAGGACUUUUCCUUGCAAAAAUACUGUUGUUGUCUCUUUGUUGUUCAAAACCAUAGGGAUAUGGUGCUACUUGGAAUAGAAAAAUGCUAAGGUUGACCUUUUCCCCCCCUUCUUGAAGAGAUAAUGGUGUGUAUGUCCAAAUGGAAAAUUUCAGUCAACAAGUGAACAUUCGGAAUUGGUGCCUGGUUUGAAUGAUAAAACUGUAGAUAUUUAUGAGUUCUUACUACAGUUGGAACUAAAUGGUGCGGAAAUUGUAGAAGUCGUUGCAAAGAAAAGCCAAGGCGCUGAGCUUUAGGUGUAGAACACUUUCAUGGAUGUUUUGUUUGCAGUCAUAGUGACUGCUUCCCUCCUCCCAUCGCAUGCAUGUACCACCAUACCUGAUUUAUUAUUUUUUUUAAUUUUUUUAUUACGUAUUUUCCUCAAUUACAUUUCCAAUGCUAUCCCAAAAGUCCCCCACACCCCCCCCCCCCACUCCCCUACCCACCCACUCCCAUUUUUUGGCCCUGGCGUUCCCCUGUACUGGGGCAUAUAAAGUUUGCCUGACCAAUGGGCCUCUCUUUCCAGUGAUGGCCGACUAGGCCAUCUUUUGAUACAUAUGCAGCUAGAGUCAAGAGCUCUGGGGUACUGCUGAUUUAUUUUUAAAAUUAAAAUUAUAAGUCAAGUUAGGCAUAUAUAUCUUCCCAAAAAGUUUAUCUUUUUUAAAAAAAAGACAUAUUUUUUUUUCUCUUAGUGGUGCUGGAGAAUGGUUGGGGUAAUACUAUUUUCUUUACCACUGAACUACCUUCUGAGCCCAAAUAUAGCAAAUUUUUGUAAUUGGGAAUGCCUUUGUAUUGGAGGGUAUCAAAAGACACACACAUAGUUUCUGCUUGCCACUGAAUCAGAUGCUGUAGAUUAAAGACACCAGCCAACUCUUGUUCUCAAGGGGAAGGGAUAAAUAAGCAGAUUGUUUCAGCUGCUGUGAGAAGUACAGGGACAGACAUGUGGGCAGGAUAUAUGGUAGCUUAUACAGCUGUCCAGUAAGCCCUCAGAAGGUAGAGGUGCUUUACAAUAGUCCUGGAAGAAUUCCGAGAAAAGCCCAUGUGCAAGAUGUCUGUUAGGCAAGAAGACUCGUUAUGAGGUUGAUAUAAUAGGCUACCUGAACUGUGAGGCUCUAUACUGGAUGCCAGCACUGUAAAAAUAGAAAGGAAAGUGUGUGCGUUAAGUAUUUGAAGGAAUUAAUAAUUCUCACAAUUGGAAGUGAGAGAGGAAAAAUCAAGGACCAAAUUUCUGAUGUGUAUGAGUAGGAGGUAAUAUCAAGAGGAAGGGCAGAUUUGGGGGAUAUGAUAGAUUUUCAUUAAUUAUAUACAUGUUUGUCUCGAAAACAAUUAGACUAUCUGAGUAGAGACAUUAAUUAUUUAUACGUGAAACCCUGAUAUUAAGUGUGUCAGAGAGAUGAGGAGUUAUGAAUCUUUAGCUUAUUGUCUGCUAAAACCUUGAGUGUGAAUGUAAUCAUCCAAGCAGAGCUUAGAGAGAAAAAGAAGACAAGACUAUGGAUGGCAUUGUGUAUUACCUUUAGAGCAUAUAAAGCAAACUAGUACAUCCUGCUCCAGGAUCAGCAGCCAAGAAGAGGAUGAAGGAGACUGAAGAGAGAAGGAGAGUAGGCGAGUGCCGUGCUGAUGAUUUCACAGAGUGCACAACAGUCAAAGAUGGAGUUACAUCCCUGUAAUAUUGACAGAGGGCAUUAAAUGCAGUGGUAGAAAUCUAGGAGGUAGUGGAAAUUAGCUUCUGAUUGAUUAUAUAAGGAAAACUUUCUGCACAGGCUAGAGAAGUUUGCAGGACAAAUGAGUGUCUGUGGUUAGGAAAGAAUUGAACAUGACAAGAGAUUG